UAUGUCCCCCACUAUAGUAGUGGGGGACAUAUUGUUUUUGCCCUGUCCGUUGGUCUGUCUGUUGGUCUGUCUGUUUGCGCCAACUUUAACAUUUUGCAAUAACUUUUGCUAUAUUGAAGAUAGCAACUUCAUAUUUGGCAUGCAUGUGUAUCUCAUGAAGCUGCACAUUUUGAGUGAUGAAAGGUCAAGGUCAAGGUCAUCCUUCAAGGUCAGAGGUCAAAUAUAUGUGGCCCAAAUCGCUUAUUUUAUAAAUACUUUUGCAUUAUUGAAGAUAGCAACUUGAUAUUUGGCAUGCAUGUGCAUCUCAUGGAGCUGCACAUUUUGAGUGGUGAAAGGUCAAGGUCAAGGUCAUCCUUCAAGGUCAGAGGUCAAAUAUAUGUGGCCCAAAUCGCUUAUUUUAUGAAUACUUUUGCAAUAUUGAAUAUAGCAACUUGACAUUUGGCAUGCAUGUGUAUCUCAUGGAGCUGCACAUUUUGAUGGUGAAAGGUCAAGGUCAUCCUUCACAAGGUCAAGGUCAUCCUUCAAAGUCAAACGUCAUAUAGGGGGACAUUGUGUUUCACAAACGCAUCUUGUUAAAUU